rfam:Haliaeetus albicilla contig46861, whole genome shotgun sequence.
AAACACGCUUUUUUAAAAGCGACAUCACUUACUCUGAAGGACCAUUU